AGUGAACGCUGGCGGUAGGCCUAACACAUGCAAGUCGAACGGCAGCACAGAGGAGCUUGCUCCUUGGGUGGCGAGUGGCGGACGGGCGAGGAAUACAUCGGAAUCUACUCUGUCGUGGGGGAUAACGUAGGGAAACUUACGCUAAUACCGCAUACGACCUACGGGUGAAAGCAGGGGACCUUCGGGCCUUGCGCGAUUGAAUGAGCCGAUGUCGGAUUAGCUAGUUGGCGGGGUAAAGGCCCACCAAGGCGACGAUCCGUAGCUGGUCUGAGAGGAUGAUCAGCCACACUGGAACUGAGACACGGUCCAGACUCCUACGGGAGGCAGCAGUGGGGAAUAUUGGACAAUGGGCGCAAGCCUGAUCCAGCCAUACCGCGUGGGUGAAGAAGGCCUUCGGGUUGUAAAGCCCUUUUGUUGGGAAAGAGAUCCAGCUGGCUAAUACCCGGUUGGGAUGACGGUACCCAAAGAAUAAGCACCGGCUAACUUCGUGCCAGCCGCCGCGGUAA
rnacentral:rRNA from 1 species